rnacentral:lncRNA from 1 species
AAAAAAACCUAACUCUUCAUCUUCUCACAGAACCAAACAAAACCUCCUCUUCAUCUCACAGAUCCAAACCCAUGGCUUCUCCUAAUUGGGAUAUCUCCAUCUACGGGACAAAUGACCAUAACAACUUCCAUGUAUGUUGAAAAGUGAAGAGUUAUAUUUGUAAUUGACCCGAUCCUUAUAUGGCAUUAUCAGAAGGCGGCACUUGCUGGCCAAAACUAUUUGAAUGGGGUCUCGCCUAUAGUGAAUUUUUUUUUGCCAUGUCUUCUAGUGCCUCUUGAGUAUGAAUAUUUUCAAUUAGAUGGGGAAAAUUUUGGACGCGGCUCUGGACGAUAUAUCAACAUACACCUAUUGUAGGGCUGCUGAUAUGAAUGGCUGCUCACUUUUCAUGAUAAUAUACGUUGUGCACUUUGUUUAGUUAGGUGAUUUUCAUGUAAUUAGUAUCGUUGACCAUUAUAGAUAGUAAUUUGUAAUGUGAUAUGGCUAUUUAAUAGAAAUUUAUCCACUAACCAUU